rnacentral:misc_RNA from 1 species
CCAAUAGCGUAUAUUAAAGUUGUUGCAGUUAAAAAGCUCGUAGUUGAAUUUCGGGAUCAAUAUUUCGGUCAUGCCGUUGGUAUGCACUGUUAUCAUUGAUUUCUCACCUUCUAAAGAACCGUAAUGCCAUUAAUUUGGUGUUACGGGGAAUUAGGACUGUUACCUUGAAAAAAUUAGAGUGUUUAAAGAAGGCUCACGCUUGAAUACAUUAGCAUGGAAUAAUGAAAUAGGACUUCCAAUUCUAUUUUGUUGGUUUCUAGGAUCGAUGUAAUGAUUAAUAGGGAUCGUUGGGGGCAUUAGUAUUCAAUUGUCAGAGGUGAAAUUCUUGGAUUUAUUGAAGACUAACUACUGCGAAAGCAUUUGCCAAGGAUGUUUUCAUUAAUCAAGAACGAAAGUUAGGGGAUCGAAGACGAUCAGAUACCGUCGUAGUCUUAACCAUAAACUAUGCCGACUAGGGAUCGGAUGAUGUUAAUUUUUUAAUGACUCAUUCGGUGCCUUACG